rnacentral:rRNA from 1 species
AAAUUUCCCGAAUCGAGGAGAGCUAACUCGUUAUGAUUUUAAUUGUUAAAUAAAUUUAUUUUAUAGGGGGUUUGAAAUGAAACGUUAUUCGUUCCUUGUGAUAUCUGGUUUUUCGAGAAACGAGUUUAAUUCGCUUGGUUUUUUAAAGUCUUCAUUUUGUGAGGUUUUUAGUUUUCCAUGCAAUAUAAAGGGGGAUGAGCUUCUUUUUAUAAUACUAAAAAUAAUUGGUUUGUGUUAGUAAGUAUAAUUGCAAUUGUUAAUCUUUAGAAUAAUUUUAUAUUUGACUUUCUUUAAGUAAAUUAUUUGUAUUUGUUUUAGUUUUUAUAUUGAAAGGUUUUCUUUAAUUUUUUUAGCUUAGUUAUAAUGAUUAAAUUAGUAAAUUUUUGUGUUUGUUUUGUUGGAUUGUUAUUAGGUCUGGCAAAGGAACUCGGCAAAGUUAUUUUCCGCCUGUUUAUUAAAAACAUGUCCUUUUGAUUAUUAUUUAAGGUCUAAUCUGCUCAAUGAGGAGUUAAAUUGCCGCGGUAUUUUGACCGUGCGAAGGUAGCAUAAUAAUUAGUUUUUUUAUUGAAAGCUGGAAUGAAUGAUUGGACGAGAAAGUGGCUGUCUCUGCUGGAUUUGUUUUUGAAAUUAACUUUUAAGUAAAAAGGCUUAAAUGUUUCUAGAAGACGAGAAGACCCUAUAGAGUUUAAUAUUUGAAGGGGUUAGAAAUUUUUGGUAUCUAUUAUUUUUAUUUUUUUAAGUAUUUGGUUGGGGUGACCAGAAGAUUUGAUUCACUCUUCUAGGUUUUCAAUGUUGAUUUGCAGGUUUUGAUUCUGAGUUUUUCAAGUUUAAAAUAAAUUACCUUAGGGAUAACAGCGUAAUUUCUCUUUAGAGUUCUUAUCGUAAGGGAAGUUUGCGACCUCGAUGUUGGAUUAAAAUUAAUAUUGGGUGCAGAGCUCAAUAUU